GCCGAGCUAAGUAACUCUAGCUUGUGACCCGAGUGGGGGCAGUGAAGUGGCAGAAUGAUGGUUUGAUCCUCUGGGCAGGGUCCACGCAUGCGUAUUCCAGGUUCGCCCGUUCAAAGUUAUGAGUUUGAUUGAACCGCGAAAACCUCCUACUCAUAGCAGUUGAAGGAUAACGGGUCGGUGCUUCUUGGACCCGGAUUGCCUUGUAGGCCGAGUUCAAUCCGACUGUCAUCUUU
rnacentral:SRP_RNA from 1 species